CGGACGGGUGAGUAACACGUGGAUAACCUACCUAUAAGACUGGGAUAACUUCGGGAAACCGGAGCUAAUACCGGAUAAUAUAUUGAACCGCAUGGUUCAAUAGUGAAAGACGGUUUUGCUGUCACUUAUAGAUGGAUCCGCGCUGCAUUAGCUAGUUGGUAAGGUAACGGCUUACCAAGGCAACGAUGCGUAGCCGACCUGAGAGGGUGAUCGGCCACACUGGAACUGAGACACGGUCCAGACUCCUACGGGAGGCAGCGGC
rnacentral:rRNA from 1 species